rnacentral:piRNA from 1 species
CAGACUGGAAAGGCGGACGGCAG